AUCACUUCUCAGGCUUUUGGCUAAGAUUAAGUAUAGUAUGUUUUCUUAUCAAUUUUAUAUCUGAUAUGUCCUCUAUUUGAGGAUAUGUAUUAAAUGGAUUUUUGGUGCAGAAAGAUGGAAUAGGAGCUUGUUCAGUCCACUUCAUGCAUCAGCCUGGUAUUACAGUACCUCCAGGAAAGGUGCAACCCUU
rfam:Erinaceus europaeus unplaced genomic scaffold scaffold00024, whole genome shotgun sequence